GAGCAAUGAUGAACUUUAUUUUGUCUGACUCUUCAAAUAAUGAAGGUUUCUACACUUGAACUGAGCUCA
rnacentral:snoRNA from 1 species